rnacentral:rRNA from 1 species
AGCGAACGCUGUGCGGCAGGCUUAACACAUGCAAGUCGAGCGGGCGUACAAUACGUCAGCGGCAGACGGGUGAGUUACGCGUGGGAACGUACCUUUUGGUUCGGAACAACCCAGGGAAACUUGGGCUAAUACCGGAUAAGCCCUUACGGGGAAAGAUUUAUCGCCGAAAGAUCGGCCCGCGUCUGAUUAGCUAGUUGGUGAGGUAAUGGCUCACCAAGGCGACGAUCAGUAGCUGGUCUGAGAGGAUGAUCAGCCACAUUGGGACUGAGACACGGCCCAAACUCCUACGGGAGGCAGCAGUGGGGAAUAUUGGACAAUGGGCGCAAGCCUGAUCCAGCCAUGCCGCGUGAGUGAUGAAGGCCCUAGGGUUGUAAAGCUCUUUUGUGCGGGAAGAUAAUGACGGUACCGCAAGAAUAAGCCCCGGCUAACUUCGUGCCAGCAGCCGCGGUAAUACGAAGGGGGCUAGCGUUGCUCGGAAUCACUGGGCGUAAAGGGUGCGUAGGCGGGUCUUUAAGUCAGGGGUGAAAUCCUGGAGCUCAACUCCAGAACUGCCUUUGAUACUGAAGAUCUUGAGUUCGGGAGAGGUGAGUGGAACUGCGAGUGUAGAGGUGAAAUUCGUAGAUAUUCGCAAGAACACCAGUGGCGAAGGCGGCUCACUGGCCCGAUACUGACGCUGAGGCACGAAAGCGUGGGGAGCAAACAGGAUUAGUUACCCUGGU